rnacentral:rRNA from 1 species
UGGGGAAUAUUGGACAAUGGGGGCAACCCUGAUCCAGCCAUGCCGCGUGGGUGAUGAAGGCCCUAGGGUUGUAAAGCCCUUUCGGCGGGGAAGAUAAUGACGGUACCCGCAGAAGAAGCCCCGGCUAACUUCGUGCCAGCAGCCGCGGUAAUACGAAGGGGGCUAGCGUUGCUCGGAAUCACUGGGCGUAAAGCGCACGUAGGCGGAUUCUUAAGUCGGGGGUGAAAUCCUGGAGCUCAACUCCAGAACUGCCUUCGAUACUGAGGAUCUUGAGUCCGGAAGAGGUGAGUGGAACUGCGAGUGUAGAGGUGAAAUUCGUAGAUAUUCGCAAGAACACCAGUGGCGAAGGCGGCUCACUGGUCCGGUACUGACGCUGAGGUGCGAAAGCGUGGGGAGCAAACAGGAUUAGAUACCCGCGUAGUCC